rnacentral:rRNA from 1 species
CCUACGGGAGGCAGCAGUAGGAAUAUUGGUCAAUGGGCGUAAGCCUGAACCAGCCAAGUCGCGUGAGGGAUGAAGGUUCUAUGGAUCGUAAACCUCUUUUAUAAGGGAAUAAAGUGUGGGACGUGUCCUAUUUUGUAUGUACCUUAUGAAUAAGGAUCGGCUAACUCCGUGCCAGCAGCCGCGGUAAUACGGAGGAUCCGAGCGUUAUCCGGAUUUAUUGGGUUUAAAGGGUGCGUAGGCGGCCUUUGAAGGCAGAGGUGAAAGUCUGUGGCUCAACCAUAGAAUUGCCGUUGAAACUGGGGGGCGUGAGUAUGUUAGAGGCAGGCGGAAUGCGUGGUGUAGCGGUGAAAUGCUUAGAUAUCACGCAGAACCCCGAUUGCGAAGGCAGCCUGCCGGGCCAUGACUGACGCUGAUGCACGAAAGCGUGGGGAUCAAACAGGAUUAGAUACCCGGGUAGUC